GUGUGAGAUGCGGAGAACAUCGCGGGAACCCUUUAUCCGAUUUCAAACGUAAAAUUGCCUUCAAAUGUUCCAAAACAAUUCAGAACGGCUGCAACAGAAGAGGUGACUGACCCCUCGGCCCAUGAGGUGUGAAAGCGAGAAUGAUGAGUGCCAGUCUUCAGAAUGACGAGGUGGCAGUGCCCAGUUUAAGCAGGGUCAUGGAACAACUCUUCCCUCCGUGAAAAGACCUCCAUGGAGACAGAAAUAACUCUGGGCCAAGUAUCAGUAGAACCAUACCUUAACCCGUCGCCACCAACCAGGGAAGGACACGUUUUCCAGUGGUUCAUUCCAUUCUGCUACACUAGGAUACGAAUCCUACCGAGCUGGAGCGCCACCUGUUCACAAAUGUUGUGCCUUCAUAGCUUUUUGUUAGAAAUAUCUUUUUGUAAAACCUAUUAGUGAUUUUUAGAUAUCGACAGAUGAAGAUACCAGUUCAAAUUGAACAUUUGAAUUGUCCCAAACAAUCAGAACAAUCAGGACCAAGUGUGUUGUCGCACCACUUUCGCUGUCACAAUCACAUCAAUAUUAUCAGGAUGAUCAGGUCACAGAUCGCCGAUAAUUCAGGGGAGUCGGGGGAAAACUCUAGUGUAAAAGCAAAAAAUUUCCCCUGGAAAAAGUGUUCUGGCCUAUUGUAUUCCGUCGGAUUAUGCUAUAAAUGGUUCUGUACUAGAUGCCAUGACCGUCAAUAGCUCCAGAUUAAAGUGAGUGAUAGAAUGCUUGGUUCCCGGACAUUCUAUCCCCGGCUGUAGAAACUC